UCACACAGCCCAAAUUAGACGGGUCACAGUGUUUUUCUGGCACCCGUUUAAAUAAUCAUAGAGAUGGAUGUGCACAGAGAGAGAAGGAGGAAGAAAGAGAGACAUAAGACUGUGGUGGGUGGAGACAAGGAUGCUUGAGAUAUUUGCGAACCAUGGUGCAGAACUUAUCUUGCUAAUGCGAGUGCAAAGGAGAAGGCUCAACUUGUAAUAUUUUCAAUUGCAGCAUCUUAGUGAGGGGAUGUAAAUGUCUGGGAGACAAAUCAAUUCCUUGUUCCAAGCUCACUGCUAAUGUGAUUUUGAAGGUUCGUUUCCAGAUCCGUCUCUGUAACUUGUAGUUUAAUGUCUGAAACAUCAGCACAACGCACAUGAGCAGCAGUGCUUAUCCAGACCUCUUCAACUCUCAUUUCCUCAUACCUUGCCUCUGGCAGAUAUACUAUACUGCAGGUCUUGCACACUGUAUAUGAAGCACACAGGCUUCUGCAGCAGGCUGAUGUAAAGCUCCUGGUGUCCUUCUGAAAGUUUAUGUAUCUACAAAGAGGUGCUGAUAUUAAGAAUAAGAAAGUGUAUGAUGGAAAAGCCUGAAAUGUUUUCUUUUCAUGAGCUGCUGCCACGGGCCUGCUCUGGCUUAAUAGCGUGGUGGCUUUUGAAAAUAAUUCAACCCUGCUUAUUUUCUACUUGAUUUACUCCGUGCAAGCCUUCCCUCAUCAGGUCAGGGUUUGGAUAUUAAGCCAAAAUAAAUCAGUUUCCCUUUUCAGCGGUAUGUUGAGCCUGCACCAACUGCAGAAAGAAAAACUUUAGGAUACAGCCACGGGAUUACAUCACAGCCAAACAAUGUCUAUUUUUACCCCGGCUAAAGUUUUUCUUACAUCCAGGAAUUUCCAAAACAGGAGAAAUCUGAAAAGAUUGAGCACAGUGCUGCAAAAAAUUGAAUUAAACUGCAGUCAUAAAAGCAGGGUCAAAACGAGGAUUAAACGUUUUCCAGCGGCGUUUGGAAUUUAGAUCUUUGAGGAUUAGGAGUCCCCGUAAAGGUAACCAGUUGCAGGUUUUUGUCUCAGACAUCCGUCUUGCUGAAGAAGUUGUAAUACAUUGAUAUAUACACCGAUCAGCCACAACAUUGAAACCACCUGUUUAAUAUUGUGUAAGUGAACCUUGUACUGCCAAAAAAGCUCUGAACAGUCGGGGAAUGGACACAAAACCUCUACAGGUCCCUGGCGCUGGGACGAUCGCAGCAAAUCUUUCGGGUUCUUUGGGAUACCGUGGGGGAUCUGGAGAGUUUGGAGGCAGAAUCAACACUUGGAGCUCUUUGUCGUGUUCCUCGAGCAGUUCUUAAACAGUGUGGCAAGUUCGUGAGGCUGAUGUUGCCAUGAGGGGUUGUGGUCGGUCUGCAUCAGUGUUUAAAUGGAUGGUGCAGCAUCCACAUGAAUGUAGAGCGCAAAGGAUCCCAUCAGAACAUUUCACUGCAACAAGAUGAUCAGUGUUUUUCAAUUUAUGUAAUAUUAAAGUUGUGGCCUAUUGUGUAAAAAAGGAAAUAACUUCAGGUGUAAUUACUCGCUGAUACUGACUUGGUUUAGUUUGAUUCUACUGAUAAUUACCUUAUCCCUGUACAUACCGAAUAAUAAAGAAAACAGGACCACUGCACCUGUUUUUAGCCUUUC